rnacentral:ncRNA from 1 species
CUUGAGCCGAGGGGCGAUGCGGAAACGGCAGGAAUGCGCAUUCCGGAAACGACAGCAGCAGAGCCCGCUAUACGUGAAGGAUUGGCUGAAGCGUAUUGAAAUACUGAGCCUCCAGCAAGAGGCAGCCAAGCAAGUAGCAUA